CUUUGUUACAGCUGGCGUUUAACAGUCGGUCACACAGCUUCCCAUGUGCCAUGGAAUGCCCUAAAAUUCUCCCCUUUUUCCGCUCCGGCACAAAAAACUAGUCGUUCACGAAGGAGUUGAUAAUUUCCUUAAUGGAGGAUGGAGUUCAGAUUCUGUGUGGUUUGGCUCUCAGGAAACACAAACAAGUUUCUACUGUUUACUGGUUGUAGAUUCUCUAGCUCAAAGCACAUAAAAGUUUGUAUUCUGCUCUGAAGUGACUUCCACCAUGAAAGCUCCUGGCCUGGGGCCACCGUGAGGUCUUCCUAUUGUUUGUAUGCCAUCACAGAUUAAUUUCAUCUCAAGGUUUGGAAGUUCUGCAAUAUAUGUUCAACAAGAUUCUGUGCCUGAAAAAAUAACUGCUUGAGACAUGGAAUAAACUCUAUGGGCAGAUUUAUUGUCA
rnacentral:lncRNA from 1 species